UGGAUGUUAAACCAAGCUUCUUGUAUGUAG
rnacentral:piRNA from 1 species